rnacentral:rRNA from 1 species
GACGAACGCUGGCGGCGUGCUUAACACAUGCAAGUCGAACGGAAAGGCCCUGCUUUUGUGGGGUGCUCGAGCGGCGAACGGGUGAGUAACACGUGAGUAACCUGCCCUUGACUUUGGGAUAACUUCAGGAAACUGGGGCUAAUACCGGAUAGGAGCUCCUGCUGCAUGGUGGGGGUUGGAAAGUUUCGGCGGUUGGGGAUGGACUCGCGGCUUAUCAGCUUGUUGGUGGGGUAGUGGCUUACCAAGGCUUUGACGGGUAGCCGGCCUGAGAGGGUGACCGGCCACAUUGGGACUGCGAUACGGCCCAGACUCCUACGGGAGGCAGCAGUGGGGAAUAUUGCACAAUGGGCGGAAGCCUGAUGCAGCAACGCCGCGUGCGGGAUGACGGCCUUCGGGUUGUAAACCGCUUUCGCCUGUGACGAAGCGUGAGUGACGGUAAUGGGUAAAGAAGCACCGGCUAACUACGUG